rnacentral:rRNA from 1 species
GUGAACCUGCGGAAGGAUCAUUAAACAAUGUGUGGACUUGCAUAUCCGCUCCCCGACCUGUGGGGAGGUCUAAGUGUAUGUGCAGUCCCCGACCUUAAACCUCUCUGAGUACCCAUCCAUGUUGCUUUCCCAGGCCAGCAGCCAUUGCUGCCUGUCCCCGAUCAUGUGUGGUUGUGGGAUGGAGGUGCCUGGGGAAGGGCCCGAACAGAAACUCUGGUGCACACAUGCUGUCUGAGUGGGCCAUGUGCCCGGCAUAUUUUGAACAAGUUAAAACUUUCAACAACGGAUCUCUUGGCUCUCGCAUCGAUGAAGAACGCAGCGAAAUGCGAUAAGUAAUGUGAAUUGCAGAAUUCAGUGAAUCAUCGAAUCUUUGAACGCACAUUGCGCCCUUUGGCAUUCCUUAGGGCAUGCCUGUUCGAGCGUCACUAGAAACCUCCUCAUGGAUCCUGUGGUGUUGGUGGAAGCUUUCUGUGGCCCCGCUGGCUGCAUCACUGCUCCACCGAAAUGCAUAAGCAGGACAAGUGGGCCUUAGCGAGUGACUUAGUAAGUGUCGUGAAGACGUAGAGCAGUCAGCAGCUAGGCCCUAGUACCCUGUACACAUCCAGACCCCCUCCGUAUCUGGUGUGAUCUCUCGGUUGACCUCGGAUCAGGUAGGCAUACCCGCUGAACUUAAGCAUAUCAAUAAGC